AUACGUAGGUGGCGAGCGUUGUCCGGAAUUAUUGGGCGUAAAGGGAGCGCAGGUGGGAAAGUAAGUCUGUCUUAAAAGUGCGGGGCUCAACCCCGUGAGGGGACAGAAACUAUUUUUCUUGAGUGCAGGAGAGGAAAGCGGAAUUCCUAGUGUAGCGGUGAAAUGCGUAGAUAUUAGGAGGAACACCAGUGGCGAAGGCGGCUUUCUGGACUGUAACUGACACUGAGGCUCGAAAGCCAGGGGAGCGAACGGGAUUAGAUACCCCGGUAGUCCUGGCCGUAAACGAUGGAUACUAGGUGUAGGAGGUAUCGACCCCUUCUGUGCCGGAGUUAACGCAAUAAGUAUCCCGCCUGGGGAGUACGAUCGCAAGAUUGAA
rnacentral:rRNA from 1 species